rnacentral:rRNA from 1 species
CAUAAGCGGAGGAAAAGAAACUACCAAGGAUUCCCCUAGUAACUGCGAGUGAAGCGGGAAAAGCUCAAAUUUGAAAUCUGGCGGUCCUUGGCCGUCCGAGUUGUAAUCUAGAGAAGUGUUACCCGCGCUGGACCGUGUACAAGUCUCCUGGAAUGGAGCGUCAUAGAGGGUGAGAAUCCCGUCUCUGACACGGACUCCCAGGGCUUUGUGGUAUGCUCUCAAAGAGUCGAGUUGUUUGGGAAUGCAGCUCAAAAUGGGUGGUAAAUUCCAUCUAAAGCUAAAUAUUGGCGAGAGACCGAUAGCGAACAAGUACCGUGAGGGAAAGAUGAAAAGAACUUUGGAAAGAGAGUUAAACAGUACGUGAAAUUGCUGAAAGGGAAACGCUUGAAGUCAGUCGCGUUGGCCAGGGAUCAGCCUCGCAUUUGCGUGGUGCACUUUCUGGUUGACGGGUCAGCAUCAAUUUUGGUCACUGGAAAAAGUCCUGAGGAAUGUGGCAGCUCCGGCUGUGUUAUAGCCUCUGGUCGCAUACAGUGGUUGGGAUUGAGGAACUCAGCACGCCGCAAGGCCGGGUUUCGACCACGUUCGUGCUUAGGAUGCUGGCAUAAUGGCUUUAAGCGACCCGUCUUGAAACACGGACCAAGGAGUCUAACAUGCCUGCGAGUGUUUGGGUGGAAAACCCGAGCGCGUAAUGAAAGUGAAAGUUGAGAUCCCUGUCGUGGGGAGCAUCGACGCCCGGACCAGAACUUUUGGGACGGAUCCGCGGUAGAGCAUGUAUGUUGGGACCCGAAAGAUGGUGAACUAUGCCUGAAUAGGGUGAAGCCAGAGGAAACUCUGGUGGAGGCUCGUAGCGAUUCUGACGUGCAAAUCGAUCGUCAAAUUUGGGUAUAGGGGCGAAAGACUAAUCGAAACAUCUAGUAGCUGGUUCCUGC